rnacentral:lncRNA from 1 species
CGUAUAACGUCCCAGCCAGCAGACUGUUUACAAAUCGUGUCGUCAUGCUGCUUCACGUGGUUGCUAUGCUAAUCAUCACGCAAUCCCUUCUCAAAACCGUUACCACAGAAGCGGCUGAAGCGGAGUCUGUUAGGAUUCAUCUGUAGCUGUAGGGUUAGGAUUCAUCUGUACCUGUAGGGUUAGGAUUCCUCUGUAGCUGUAGGGUUAGGAUUCCUCUGUAGCUGUAGGGUUAGGAUUCCUCUGUAGCUGUAGGGUUAGGAUUCCUCUGUAGCUGUAGGGUUA